GACGAACGCUGGCGGCGUGCCUAAUACAUGCAAGUGGGACGCAAGAGAACACACUGUGCUUGCACACCGUGUUUUCUUGAGUCGCGAACGGGUGAGUAACGCGUAGGUAACCUGCCUAUUAGCGGGGGAUAACUAUUGGAAACGAUAGCUAAUACCGCAUAAUAUUAAUUAUUGCAUGAUAAUUGAUUGAAAGAUGCAAGCGCAUCACUAGUAGAUGGACCUGCGUUGUAUUAGCUAGUUGGUAAGGUAAGAGCUUACCAAGGCGACGAUACAUAGCCGACCUGAGAGGGUGAUCGGCCACACUGGGACUGAGACACGGCCCAGACUCCUACGGGAGGCAGCAGUAGGGAAUCUUCGGCAAUGGACGAAAGUCUGACCGAGCAACGCCGCGUGAGUGAAGAAGGUUUUCGGAUCGUAAAGCUCUGUUGUAAGUCAAGAACGUGUGUGAGAGUGGAAAGUUCACACAGG
rnacentral:rRNA from 1 species